CCCUUAGAUGUUCUGGGCUGCACGCGCGCUACACUGAUGCAUGCAACGAGUUUUCGACCUUGCCUGAAGAGGUUGGGUAAUCUGUUUAACAUGUGUCGUGAUGGGGAUAGACCAUUGCAAUUAUUGAUCUUCAACGAGGAAUUCCUAGUAAGCGCGAGUCAUCAGCUCGUGCUGAUUAUGUCCCUGCCCUUUGUACACACCGCCCGUCGCUCCUACCGAUUGGGUGAUCCGGUGAAUGAUUCGGACCGGCGUAGUGCUAGCUACUAGUGCUGUACUGGAAAGUUUUGUGAACCUUAUCACCUGGAGGAAGGAGAAGUCGUAACA
rnacentral:rRNA from 1 species